GUCCGGAAGUUGGAUUGAGGAUUCUGGUGUCAAUGCUGUAGAGUCUUUUGUAGCUUUGCAACUAGUGGCAUCUGCCGGUGGACUUGCUUUGGCUGGAAAUGUGUUUGUGUGGCAACAGUGCAGGAAGACGAUAGGUGAGGUCACAUGUUUGAAAGUUCAAAUCACAAUCAAGAAGUGGCACAGUAUUGGAGAAAGGAUCACAAUCCUCAUUGUCACCAGCGAUAUCAUCACCAUCACAACACAGUAUCUGGACAGACAUCAAUGGGACAUCACCGUUGCUCCUCCGUUCAUCAUGAUCCAGUAUAAUAGAAUCAAUACCAUUACUGAAAUGUUUGCUAUCAAAUGCAUCAGAAGUGAAACUAACUGGGUUAGAAACGGGAACGUAUAAAUUAGUCUGUGGGGCGUGCUCCAGUCUGUGAUGAGCACAGUCAGAUUCCUGACUUUGUAAGUCAGUAACACCAAUAGUUGAAGCAGUAAAGCAAUUUGCUUUCCGAUAGCCUUCUGCAAUAGGUACCUGGUGCUCAGUAUCACCAGAUGUCUCAGCUUUGUCAAACAUUACUCCAUCAGGAAUCCAUCGUCUGUCUGUGUAAUUACAGCAUUCAUUUUCCUCAUCGCUCUCGUCUGGGUCGUCAACAUUAUCCAAAAGGUAGACUGCAGCGAUUCAAGAAGGCAGCUCAACAGCACCUUCUCCACAUUUCCCAGAUCAGCUUUCACCCUCUUGCUUUUCAAGAAUCUACCAAUGCCUGCCUUAAAAGUAUUCAAGGACUCUGCUCUUACCACCUUUUGGAGGAAGAAAGUUCCAAAGACUCUCACUGCUCAGAGAAAAAUGAAAUCUCUAUCCCGGUCUUAAAUGUGUGACCCUUAUUUUGAUAUCUAACAAUGACGAGUCAGAAUACAGAAAGGAGAUAGAAGGCUUGCUGACGUGUUGCAAUAAGAACAUCUCUCUCAACAUUGGCAAAACUAAAGAGCUGAUCAUUGACUUCAAAGAGAGAGGAGAACACCCCCUCAUCUACAUCAAUGGAGCGGAGGUUG